AGGUGAUACAAGCUGAUAUAAUUUUCAUAAAUAGCUUUGAUAGCAUGAAAAGUUGCCCAGUGUGGAACAACACACAACAUGUAUUUGUUUUUUCUUUGGUGAAAAUCUUGCCUAUCUGUAGUAUGUGCUUGAUAAUUGUAACACUUAAAUAGUAUGAGUAUAUGGCAUGAUGGUGACAAAAAUGAGUCUAUAGCUACUUGCUAGUCAUUAGAGAGAAGUUACAGAAGGGGACAGAGCGGGUAUCAUUUAGCAAGGCAAUGACUUAAGCCUGCUUUCAGCUAAUCUC